GACGAACGCUGGCGGCGUGCUUGACACCCUUUAGUCGAACGGAAAGGCCCUGCUUUUGUGGGGUGCUCGAGUGGCGAACGGGUGAGUAACACGUGAGUAACCUGCCCUUGACUUUGGGAUAACUUCAGGAAACUGGGGCUAAUACCGGAUAGGAGCUCCUGCUGCAUGGUGGGGGUUGGAAAGUUUCGGCGGUUGGGGAUGGACUCGCGGCUUAUCAGCUUGUUGGUGGGGUAGUGGCUUACCAAGGCUUUGACGGGUAGCCGGCCUGAGAGGGUGACCGGCCACAUUGGGACUGAGAUACGGCCCAGACUCCUACGGGAGGCAGCAGUGGGGAAUACUGCACAAUGGGCGGAAGCCUGAUGCAGCAACGCCGCGUGCGGGAUGACGGCCUUCGGGUUGUAAACCGCUUUCGCCUGUGACGAAGCGUGAGUGACGGUAAUGGGUAAAGAAGCACCGGCUAACUACGUGCCAGCAGCCGCGGUGAUACGUAGGGUGCGAGCGUUGUCCGGAUUUAUUGGGCGUAAAGGGCUCGUAGGUGGUUGAUCGCGUCGGAAGUGUAAUCUUGGGGCUUAACCCUGAGCGUGCUUUCGAUACGGGUUGACUUGAGGAAGGUAGGGGAGAAUGGAAUUCCUGGUGGAGCGGUGGAAUGCGCAGAUAUCAGGAGGAACACCAGUGGCGAAGGCGGUUCUCUGGGCCUUUCCUGACGCUGAGGAGCGAAAGCGUGGGGAGCGAACAGGCUUAGAUACCCUGGUAGUCCACGCUGUAAACGGUGGGUACUAGGUGUGGGGUCCAUUCCACGGGUUCCGUGCCGUAGCUAACGCUUUAAGUACCCCGCCUGGGGAGUACGGCCGCAAGGCUAAAACUCAAAGGAAUUGACGGGGCCCCGCACAAGCGGCGGAGCAUGCGGAUUAAUUCGAUGCAACGCGUAGAACCUUACCUGGGUUUGACAUGGAUCGGGAGUGCUCAGAGAUGGGUGUGCCUCUUUUGGGGUCGGUUCACAGGUGGUGCAUGCCUGUCGUCAGCUCGUGUCGUGAGAUGUUGGGUUAAGUCCCGCAACGAGCGCAACCCUUGUUCACUGUUGCCAGCACGUUAUGGUGGGGACUCAGUGGAGACCGCCGGGGUCAACUCGGAGGAAGGUGGGGAUGACGUCAAGUCAUCAUGCCCCUUAUGUCCAGGGCUUCACGCAUGCUACAAUGGCUGGUACAGAGAGUGGCGAGCCUGUGAGGGUGAGCGAAUCUCGGAAAGCCGGUCUCAGUUCGGAUUGGGGUCUGCAACUCGACCUCAUGAAGUCGGAGUCGCUAGUAAUCGCAGAUCAGCAACGCUGCGGUGAAUACGAUGGCGGGGCU
rnacentral:rRNA from 1 species